GCGGCUCAUCCUCUAGGGCGGAGAGAGGUGGCAUUUGAGUCCUCCGGUAUCCCAGCAGGCAGUGCAGCCUAGAGACGCUGACAAAGGAGCGGAGGAGCAGUCGCAGCUGCUUUCCGAGGAAGCCGGUGUUGCCGAGAUGGAGUCUCACUCUGUCUCCCAGGUUGGAGUGCAGUGGCAUGAUCUCGGCUCACUGCAACCUCCGCCUCCCGGGUUCAAGUGAUUCUCCUGCCUCAGCCUCCCUAGUAGCUGGGAUUACAGAUUGCCAAAAUGCUUUGGAGUUUUUAACUGAAUCUAAGAAAAGUCCAAAAUAGAUUUGAGACUGUAAAAACAGAAACUGCAGCAAGGGGGAUUCAGUGCCAAUGCAUCAACAAAAAAGACAACCAGAGUUAGUGGAAGGAAAUCUUCCUGUUUUCGUGUUCCCCACGGAGCUCAUAUUUUAUGCAGAUGAUCAGUCAACACAUAAGCAAGUGUUGACACUGUACAAUCCCUAUGAGUUUGCCUUAAAGUUCAAAGUUUUGUGUACUACUCCAAAUAAGUAUGUUGUCGUUGAUGCUGCAGGUGCAGUAAAGCCUCAGUGUUGUGUGGAUAUUGUGAUUCGUCAUCGAGAUGUUCGAUCCUGUCACUAUGGUGUAAUAGACAAAUUCCGUCUCCAAGUUUCCGAGCAAAGCCAAAGGAAGGCUUUGGGAAGAAAAGAGGUUGUUGCUACUCUUCUCCCAUCAGCAAAAGAACAACAAAAGGAAGAAGAGGAAAAAAGAUUAAAGGAACAUUUAACUGAAAGUUUAUUUUUUGAGCAGUCGUUUCAACCAGGUAUUUCUGCUAUUGUUUCAUUUCAAGCAAUAAUUACUAUAAAAUUUGAAUUUGUUUUCACCUCUCUGGCUCUGAUGAAGUACAGUUAAACUCCACACAACAGCUAAGAAAACAGAGCUGUAUCCUCAGGACCUAGUUUACUAACUGUCUUCCUGGGAGUGGUGUGCAUUGCAGCCCUGAUGCUGCCUACACUGGGGGAUGUGGAAUCGCUGGUGCCUCUCUACCUCCACUUAAGUGUGAAUCAAAAAUUAGUGGCUGCUUAUAUCUUAGGUCUUAUCACAAUGGCCAUACUUAGAACAUGAGCAAGGAUUUCAAUUGACUUCUGAAGUAAAUCUGUCUUGAAAAUAUGAAUGUGGACUGCCUUUUAUCUCUAUUUCACUCCAUUAACAUGCAACAAACUAUUGAAUGAUUUCAAAUAAUUGCAAAUGUAUAAUAUAUAUUUUAAAUUAUAAUUUAAUUUGAAGGACUGCGGAACAUUAUUUUACAGACAGCAAGGAUGCUUCUGAGUGACACCUAGGAAAUUAUUUGAAGAAAUUCUUUUUAUAUCUAUACCUGUUGUGUAAGAAACUUUAAAACAUUUGUUAUUUUCUCACCUUUUUUUCUAAUUCACUUUGAUUGCUAGGGGUCAUGUAUGCUUCGAAGUUACAGGACUAAAAGAGCAAACUGACCGGCCUAAAACUAAAAUGACAUUUCUUCCCUAGCUACAAACAUCAGCGUUAUUAUGUUAAUUAUACCUUGCCCUCUAUCAUUAUAAAUGGUUGCCAUGGUGUUUCUAAAAAUAAGUGUUUUACCAUUAAUGUGUAGAGGGCAAACAAAGCAUAAAGUACUAAGGGAUCAUGCUUAUCCUAGGGUCUCACAGAAGAGAGGACAUAUUUAAUUAAUCUUGUGAAUUACAGAACGGGUUGUGGUCCAGACACCAAGAAUCAUAGGGUUUUUUUAAAAAAACCUAAUAGAAGUAGGGUGACCUCUCUCUUUGGUCUAAGAGUUCUAAAGGAAGGUAGGCAUCUGUUUAAUUAGUUGGUUCACCCUGGCUUUACCUCUGGUUAAUGCUUUGUGUUAAUAGGAAGGAAAAAUCACUUUAUCUUUUCUUCCAAGCCCCUCCCUGCCUGACUUACCUAGACUGGGAUUACCAGAUACCAGGUGAUUUAUGUGGAGAUGAUUUUUCACCUUUAAACUCUAAGCCAAGUGUAAGAAACUCUUGAUAGCUAUGUCUAUUUUAUAUCAGUCACUGAGACUUUUUUUUAAGUUUUUAUUUAUUAUUAAGACAACUUUGCCAAAAAAGUCCCCUAAGCACAACUAUUUACAUUUCUUUAUAGCCUCUUCUGAUCUCUAACACAUAUGCAGUUUUAACUGUUAUUUUCAUAGUAACUGAUCUUUUGUCUAAGGAUUUUUACCUGAAAGCACAAUGUAUUGAGUCUCUUGAAAAUCAUCUUUCAGAUCUUUUUACAGAAUGAACUUAUGCACUGCUACUGUAGUAUUCUCAAGGAAUAUAUGUAAACACAAAUGUAUGCCUGAGGUUGGUUUUUGCAGAAAACAGUCUCUGCUUCUAAAAACUUCUAUGUCUAGUCUUCCAUAGGAAAUCCUCACUGUUUAACCAUGUGAGGAGCCUAAGUCAUUAAACGGAUCAUGUCUGUACAUUGUGUAAUGAAUGAAAAGCACAUAAAUGUAAUCUACUUUGAACUUUGUAAAAAUGAUGUGUGGAGGCUAUUCUUGUUUCUCCAUCUCAAGUCCUGUGUGUGCACGUGUGUGCAAGUGCACGUGUGUGUGUAAUAACACAUUGUAAAGAACAGAAAUUACUUUAAAAAAUAAACAGAAAUGGAGACCUGA